GGAUAUGUAUUUAAUAUUGCGAUUCAAACCCAUUUCAUCCCUGCGAUUCUUCAUUCCCAUUUCAACUGCUAUUCUUCAAACCUUCUUCAUUCCCAUUUCAACUGCUAUUCUUCAAACCCAUUUCAAACGCAUGCGAAUGAGCAGCAAUUUCAGAUCCGCUACCCCCUGCGACUGUCAUCCCUGCGAUUCUUCAAACCCAUUUCAAACGCAUGAGAAUGAGCAGCAAUUUCAGAUUCGCUACCCCUGCGACAGCCCUGCGACUGUUGUCCCCCCUGCGAUUGAACAAUCAAUUUGAUGGAGUUGUCAAUACCCUUACAGGAAUAGCUAAGAAUCAGGUCGCCAUGAACCCGACCAACACUCUUUUUGGUAUGUUCUAAACCAUCUCUGAUUUUAGCACCAGUCAUGUUUUUAUUUUUUAAACUGGUGGCUGGGGAAUUGAGUUCAUGUUUGGAUUUAUAUUCAGUAUAUUCUUAUACUCAUUUAAAUUUUGGCUUCCAUAGAAGAUAUUAUUGUAUUAGAUGUAUGUUUGAAUUUUGUGAAUUAAUUUUUUUGGGGUUUUAAUGGUGAAUUCAGUUAAAGGUGCUAGUCUUGUGGAUUUAAAUUUCCUUUUAAGGAAUAUCUUUAAUUUUGUAAUAAAUCAGGGACUAUAACUGGAGAUUUAUUCACCAUAACGUGUGUAGUUUUGAAAAUAGGGACCUUAUACGUUAUAUGAUCUGUAGUCUUAAUGUGUAAGAACUAAGUUUAGGUUCGAUUUUUUAAAUUUUGCUUUAGAUCCAUGAUGCUAUGUUCUGUUUCUUUUGUUUAUAUUGUUGUUUUUUUGAAUUUGUAAGAAUUAAGUUUUUAUGAUUUUUUCGUUUGCUGUUUCAGAUUCAUGAUGCUAUGCUCUGUUUAAAUUGUUGUACUCAUACUUGACUAAAAGCCCUAAAAAGAGUUCCAAUUUAUAAUUAGUGUCCAAUUUGUGUGUGGUAUGUCUGUUUUUAUAUUGGGUUUAUGAUCUAAUUUAAUUGUGCCUUUUUCAGAUGCUAAGCGGUUGAUUGGUAGGAGAUCUGGUUCAGCUUUCUCAUAAAGUGAUAUCAAUCUAAUUUUAAGAAUUGAUUCUAGAUUUAGGUGUUAUGUUGCCCAACAUUUGUAACUAUGCUCUGAUUAUUCUAUAUCUUUUGUUGAUUAGGGGCUUGACUCCAAGAUUGGUAAUGUAUAUGACCCAAGGAGCACUCUUCUUUGCAUCAUAUGAAUCUUUCGAGAAGUUACUUUAACUAGAGUCCCAACCUCCACGUAGUGCUCAAACAAUCCAAUAUGAACCAAACAUGAAAGACGAUUCUACAGAUUAGCCAAAAGCAUGAGUGUUCCAACACAUUUUUUUAGGCUUCGGAUCUCACUUGUAAUUCUGUUGUAUCAUUAGCAAUGUUUGUACCUAUUAUCUGACUCACUUGUAAUUCUGUUGUAUCAGUAACAAUUUUUUUGAGAGGAUAUUUAAAAGAAAUUAUCAAGAAUAAAUAUGAUAAUAAUAUAAGGCUUGUAUUUUUUUACUCAUGUGAGUUUUAUUAUUUUACCCUGAAGACUAUCUCAUAUUUUAUUUCCUUCUUUGAUUUGGAUAUUGAUUCCUUU
rnacentral:lncRNA from 1 species